rnacentral:pre_miRNA from 1 species
AGUGUAUUUGCUAGGUUGGAUGGUAAAUUUAUGUUUAUCAUUUCAAGAAACCUGCAAACUGUUUUCCAAAGUGGCUAUACCAUUUUCAUUCCUACCGGUAAG